rnacentral:rRNA from 1 species
AUGGACAAUAUGACCCACAACUCGAGCAGCAGCAGCUCCUGGGACUUGGACAUGAGCCUCGGUAGCCAUCACCACCCUCUGCUCUUCGACCACCCGACCCCAACUCCGCCGGCGCCACCGCCACCGCCAUUAUCUUUCCACCUCCACCCUCCUCCUCCUCCACCCCCUCAUCAACACCACCAGCACCACCAGCAGCACCAGCUAGCCAUAGAUCCCUCCCCUUCUUCCUCCCUCUUCCCUCCACCUCACCACCACCCCCAUCAUCUCCACCACCUCGACUUGGCCGUCGACCCCCACCGACAUCACCAUGACUACCAACGUGAACAGCACCCGGACGAGAUGCAGCAGCGGCCGCCGCCCGCGAUGGAGGAGGGCUCGCAGCAGCUUCAUCACCAGGACGCGGUUGACGAGGCGGAGGAGGAGCUGGGUGCGAUGAAGGAGAUGAUGUACCGGAUCGCCGCCAUGCAGCCGGUGGACAUCGACCCGGCCACCAUCAAAAAGCCGCGCCGCCGCAACGUCCGCAUCAGCGAGGACCCGCAGAGCGUCGCUGCCCGUCACCGCCGCGAGCGGAUCAGCGAGCGCAUCCGCAUCCUCCAGCGCCUCGUGCCUGGGGGCACCAAGAUGGAUACGGCAUCGAUGCUCGACGAGGCCAUCAGAUACAUCAAGUUCCUCAAGCGCCAGGUCCAAGACCUCCAGCACCAGCCUGCGCCACCGCAACAGCAGCACUAUCCCGGCGGAGGCGGCAGCGGCGGCGCUGGUCCGAGCAGUACCGCCGCCGUGGCCGGGCGGCCGGCUUUCUUGCCGCUGGGCGCCGGAUCCCUGAUCGACUGGGCAGGGUUGACGAGGCAGGUGGAUAUCCACGCGCCAACGUCGUCGUCUUCCUCGUCGUCGAUGGGCGGCGCGCUAGGUUUCGGAUUCAGCACGGGCGGUCAAAGCAGCCACGGAAUGCACUGA